rnacentral:lncRNA from 12 species
CUCUACCAGCCCGCCCGCCAGCCACGGAUCGCUACACGGACCUGCCAGAGGCCAAGCACGGCACUCGAUGCUGGGGAGAUAGGCAAACGGGUGGCUAGAGCCAGAGGGGCCUGCUCACUGCAGGAUGAGGGAGUUGUCGGGCAGGCUCUGGCCGGUGCUGAGGAUUCCAGGGCACGUCCAGUGCACGCAGCCCCAGGGAGAUGGAGACAGACGCAUGGACAGAAAAGGAGGGACAGAGGGAGCUUGCCCACGGGAGCCCUGAUGGGGGUGGGUUGGCCUCACUCAGCCAGGGGACAAACCAGAACCAAUAAUGUUGUCCUUCUGAGGCCUGAAACAAGGCGAACUGAGCCCAUCAGUCUGUUAACAACUGGAGAGCUCCAGGAGAACCACCAUUAGCCCAUUCCUGUCCCGGGUUAAAGAGGACUCUAGAGGCUUUAUACCUGUCAUU